rnacentral:rRNA from 1 species
GAGACUGUGAAGUUAAGCAAAUCCCAAAAAUAAACGUCUCAGUUCAGAUUGCAGGCUGCAACCCGCCUGCAUGAAGUCGGAAUUGCUAGUAAUCGCGGAUCAGCAUGCCGCGGUGAAUACGUUCCCGGGCCUUGUACACACCGCCCGUCACACCAUGGGAGCCGGUAAUACCCGAAGUCAGUAGUCCAACCUCGUGAGGACGCUGCCGAAGGUAGGAUUGGCGACUGGGGUGAAGUCGUAACAAGGUAUC